GACGGAGGGUGCAAACGUUGUUCGGAAUCACUGGGCAUAAAGCGCACGUAGGCGGUCCGCUAAGUCAGAUGUGAAAUCCCCCGGCUCAACCGGGGAACUGCACCUGAUACUGGCGGGCUCGAGGACGGUAGGGGUGAGUGGAAUUCCCGGUGUAGCGGUGGAAUGCGUAGAGAUCGGGAAGAACAUCAGUGGCGAAGGCGGCCUGCUGGGCUGUUGCUGACGCUGAGGCGCGACAGCGUGGGGAGCAAACGAGG
rnacentral:rRNA from 1 species